AUGAAAAGAGGAGGAGGAGAAGAAGAGAGGAAUUUGUGUGGCAUAGUUCCCUGGGUCCAGCCUGCUUGUGGUUGUGUUCUUUACAGAACUGCACUAAGGAGUCCCACCAGCUGCACGAGAACCUCACUAAUCCUGCAACUGUGUGUGGGUGAGGCCCCAACACGCCGUUCAUUCACAGUAAAGGACACAUGCACUGUCGGCAUAAGACAUAUGUUCUCCUUCGUAUUGCCUUUAACUGUUUUUUUAUUAUAUUUAAUUUGUAACAGAUGCACAGAUACCUGUGUACAUAUAAUAAUAAACUUUAUUUUUGUAUAGCACCAUUAAAAGCGGCAUCUCAAAGUGAUUUACUGAACAAAAAAAACUACAGUACUGUAUGUUCAUAUGAGUUACUGCAUUCCUUUCAUCUUAAGAAAUAUGACAAAUUAGUGUCUACAAUUUGAUCAUGUGUACUUGGUGUGUGCCCUGCAUUUAUUUAUUCAUUUAUCAAUAUAUAGAAUAUAAAUGAUCUGCUUUAUUCUGUAGAAAUUCUGUAGAAAGUGCACGAGCAGUCUGAAA
rnacentral:lncRNA from 1 species